AGCAGGUUUGUAGCAAUACAGAUGCUGGCGACCGGCAAACGGGUGCGUAACACGUACGCAACUUACCCAUUACUGGUGAAUAGCCCAGGGAAACUUGGAUUAAUACACCAUAACAUAUAGAGAAGGCAUCUUCUUUAUAUUAAAGCUUCGGCGGUAAUGGAUGGGCGUGCGGUUGAUUAGAUAGUUGGCGGGGUAACGGCCCACCAAGUCUACGAUCAAUAGCUGAUGUGAGAGCAUGAUCAGCCACACGGGCACUGAGACACGGGCCCGACUCCUACGGGAGGCAGCAGUAAGGAAUAUUGGGCAAUGGACGAAAGUCUGACCCAGCCAUGCCGCGUGAAGGAUGAAGGUCCUCUGGAUUGUAAACUUCUUUUAUCUGGGGCGAAAACCUCCCUUUCUAGGGGGCUUGACAGUACCAGAAGAAUAAGCACCGGCUAACUCCGUGCCAGCAGCCGCGGUAAUACGGAGGGUGCAAGCGUUAUCCGGAUUCACUGGGUUUAAAGGGUGCGUAGGCGGGCAGGUAAGUCAGUGGUGAAAUCCCCGAGCUUAACUCGGGAACUGCCGUUGAUACUAUCUGUCUUGAAUACCGUGGAGGUGAGCGGAAUAUGUCAUGUAGCGGUGAAAUGCUUAGAUAUGACAUAGAACACCAAUUGCGAAGGCAGCUCGCUACACGGUCAUUGACGCUGAGGCACGAAAGCGUGGGGAUCAAACAGGAUUAGAUACCCUGGUAGUCCACGCCCUAAACGAUGAUUACUCGACAUCAGCGAUACA
rnacentral:rRNA from 1 species